UUGAAAAUCUGAGAGAACAACUGCCUCUGUUUAUCUACAGAACAGGUACAGCACAGCCAGUGGCAGUGCAAACUUCCUCAGCAGACCACCCUGCCAAAGUGCCACAAUGACCUGGAGGAAUCACCCUAGAGCUGAGAGGUGAGUUUGAUUUCCACAGACCAUUCAAUCUUUGGACUCC
rnacentral:sRNA from 1 species